UGCGUAGGCGGAUUAAUAAGUCAGUGGAGAAAUCCCCCGGCUCAACCGGGAAACUGCCAUUGAUACUGUUAGUCUAGAGUUUAGAUGAAGUGGGCGGAAUGUAGCAUGUAGCGGUGAAAUGCUUAGAUAUGCUACAGAACACCGAUUGCGAAGGCAGCUCACUAAACUAAAACUGACGCUCAUGCACGAAAGCGUGGGGAUCAAACAGGAUUAGAUACCCUGGUAGUCC
rnacentral:rRNA from 1 species